rfam:Conidiobolus coronatus NRRL 28638 unplaced genomic scaffold CONCOscaffold_75, whole genome shotgun sequence.
GCUCCUAUAGCAAAGUGGUCAAUGCGUCGUGCUUAUAAGUUAACAGCUUAUACUAGGUCACGCGAAGGUCGGCGGUUCGAACCCGCCUGGGAGCG